rnacentral:lncRNA from 1 species
AGGUUGUGAAGGUUUAACAGUGGUGAGAUGAAAAAUUGAGAGAGAACCGACAUAGCUUUUUGUGUCGAUUCCCACAGACGGUGCCAAAUGUUGAUGCACAAAACCGGAGGUCUUGGAACAACGUAAAUCCGACCAUGAAUGUGCAUGAAAUGUAAAUAACACAAGAUGUAUCGUGGUUCACCCCAAGGUUUGGGCUACGUCCACACUGAUUAUGUAUUUAUCUGAUAGGUGAGGGAGAGAGAGCUCUGAGAGUGAAAGCUUUGAGAGGGGGUGAAAGGACCUAGGAAUUGGCCUCCGAAUGUGAGAAUGAGGCUCCCCUUAAUUGUGAGGGUGAGGGGUCCUUUUAUAGAAUAAGGGCUCAUCACUUAUUACAUAUUUUCCCCUUCCUUUAUUACAUAAUUACAUUUAAAUCCCUCGAGUAUUUAUACGAGA